rnacentral:rRNA from 1 species
UACGUAGGGGCAAGCGUUGUCCGGAAUUAUUGGGCGUAAAGAGCGUGUAGGCGGUCCGGUAAGUCGGCUGUGAAAGUCCAGGGCUCAACCCUGGGAUGCCGGUCGAUACUGCCGGACUAGAGUUCGGAAGAGGCGAGUGGAAUUCCCGGUGUAGCGGUGAAAUGCGUAGAUAUCUGGAGGAACACCGGUGGCGAAGGCGGCAUCCUGGACCGACACUGACGCUGAGGAGCGAAAGCCAGGGGAGCAAACGGG